CUUCAAGCCGCGACACACUGGACUGUCACAUAGCGUCGCUUUCCCCCACCGGACAGCACAGCAGCGUCACACUGCCAGCUGUGGAUCCAGUCCGGAGAGAGUCUGCUCCGCGUUACCAAGCGCAACUCUUGGACAUCAGUCACAAGGAGGAAAAGAUUCUGUGAAGGACCGUAAACUCUUUGGGGUUCUGGACCAAAUAUGACGAGAUCCAGACAGCUUCCGACCCUGUUCUGCUAUGAGCCAAACACACUUACUGCUGACCGGGUGGAGGAUUGUUUUAGCAUUCAUCUCACUCCAGAAAGGAGCAACAAGACUUUCUGUAGGAAUUAUCUCCAAGAUGCAGAAGAAGAAGGGCCAUCCAAACUAGAGAAGAUAUUGGCCUUCACAAGUGGAGCAUCUGUGGUACCACCUAUUGGCUUUUCCCCAACUCCUUCCAUCCAAUUCAUUCACAAAGGAUUUGAUGACUUCACUACGUCAACGUUCCCUCUUGCCAACACGUUUUAACUGCAUCAAUUUGCAAACUACAUGUGUCUUACCAAC